GUAUGCUAAGAGAUGGAUUUCAGGGAGCAGUUUUUUUAAAUUUAAUAAUUAAAGUUAUUUUAAUUUGUGAAGAAACAAUUAUAUAAAUUAAGGACAAGAAGACCCUAAGAAUUUAAGAAUUCUUAUGUUACUUAAAUAUAAAAUAGGAAUUCUUAGUUGGGGCAACUAAAAAACAUUAUAAACUUUUUUUCUUUAAAAUGACCCAUUAUUAAUGAUAAUAUGAUUAAAUACUCUAGGG
rnacentral:rRNA from 1 species